rnacentral:rRNA from 1 species
GACGAACGCUGGCGGCGUGCCUAAUACAUGCAAGUAGAACGCACAGUUUAUACCUUAGCUUGCUACACCAUAGACUGUGAGUUGCGAACGGGUGAGGAACGCGUAGGUAACCUGCCUGGUAGCGUGAGAUAACUAUUGGAAACGAUAGCUAAUACCGCAUAAUAUUAAUUAUUGCAUGAUAAUUAAUUGAAAGGUGCAAUUGCACCACUACCAGAUGGACCUGCGUUGUAUUAGCUAGUAGGUGAGGUAACGGCUCACCUAGGCGACGAUACAUAGCCGACCUGCGAGGGUGAUCGGCCACACUGGGACUGAGACCCGGCCCAGACUCCUACGGGAGGCAGCAGUAGGGAAUCGUCGGCAAGGGACGAAAGUCUGAACGAGCAACGCCGAGUGAGUGAAGAAGGUUUUCGGAUCGUAAAGCUCGGUUGUAAGAGAAGAAAGGGUGUGAGAGUGGAAAGUUCACACUGUGACGGUAUCUGACCAGAAAGGGACGGCUAACUACGUG